AUGAACGCUGGCGGCGUGCCUAGUACAUGCAAGUCGAGCGAACGGACGAGAAGCUUGCUUCUCUGAUGUUAGCGGCGGACGGGUGAGUAACACGUGGAUAACCUACCUAUAAGACUGGGAUAACUUCGGGAAACCGGAGCUAACACCGGAUAAUAUUUUGAACCGCAUGGUUCAAAAGUGAAAGACGGUCUUGCUGUCACUUAUAGAUGGAUCCGCGCUGCAUUAGCUAGUUGGUAAGGUAACGGCUUACCAAGGCAACGAUGCAUAGCCGACCUGAGAGGGUGAUCGGCCACACUGGAACUGAGACACGGUCCAGACUCCUACGGGAGGCAGCAGUAGGGAAUCUUCCGCAAUGGGCGAAAGCCUGACGGAGCAACGCCGCGUGAGUGAUGAAGGUCUUCGGAUCGUAAAACUCUGUUAUUAGGGAAGAACAUAUGUGUAAGUAACUGUGCACAUCUUGACGGUACCUAAUCAGAAAGCCACGGCUAACUACGUG
rnacentral:rRNA from 1 species